UAGGGAAUCUUCCACAAUGGACGUAAGUCUGAUGGAGCAACGCCGCGUGAGUGAAGAAGGGUUUCGGCUCGUAAAGCUCUGUUGGUAGUGAAGAAAGAUAGAGGUAGUAACUGGCCUUUAUUUGACGGUAAUUACUUAGAAAGUCACGGCUAACUACGUGCCAGCAGCCGCGGUAAUACGUAGGUGGCAAGCGUUGUCCGGAUUUAUUGGGCGUAAAGCGAGUGCAGGCGGUUCAAUAAGUCUGAUGUGAAAGCCUUCGGCUCAACCGGAGAAUUGCAUCAGAAACUGUUGAACUUGAGUGCAGAAGAGGAGAGUGGAACUCCAUGUGUAGCGGUGGAAUGCGUAGAUAUAUGGAAGAACACCAGUGGCGAAGGCGGCCCUCUGGUCUGCAACUGACGCUGAGGCUCGAAAGCAUGGGUAGCGAACAGGAUUAGAUACCCUGGUAGUCCAUGCCGUAAACGAUGAGUGCUAAGUGUUGGGAGGUUUCCGCCUCUCAGUGCUGCAGCUAACGCAUUAAGCACUCCGCCUGGGGAGUACGACCGCAAGGUUG
rnacentral:rRNA from 1 species